rnacentral:rRNA from 1 species
AACGAACGCUGGCGGCGUGGAUAAGACAUGCAAGUCGAACGGGAUUUUUUUCUGUAGCAAUACAGGAAAAAGUCUAGUGGCGAACGGGUGCGUAACACGUGAGCAACCUGCCGUGAAGUGGGGGAUAGCUCGCCGAAAGGCGAAUUAAUACCGCAUGUGGCCAAGGAAGACAUCUUCCUGACGCCAAAGCCGGGGCAACCUGGCGCUUCUCGAGGGGCUCGCGGCCUAUCAGCUUGUUGGUGAGGUAACGGCUCACCAAGGCUAUGACGGGUAGCUGGUCUGAGAGGACGACCAGCCACACUGGAACAGAGACACGGUCCAGACACCUACGGGGGGCAGCAGUCGAGAAUUUUUCACAAUGGGGGAAACCCUGAUGGAGCGACGCCGCGUGGAGGAUGAAGGUUUUCGGAUUGUAAACUCCUGUCAUAGAGAACAAGGCAUACGGUUUAACUGGCCGUGUGUUGAUAGUAUCUGAAGAGGAAGAGACGGCUAACUCUGUGCCAGCAGCCGCCGUAA